rnacentral:sRNA from 1 species
GGGUUUUGUGUGGAAAAACGCCUUGGAGUGUGACAUUUCUGCGAGAAUGCUUAAAUACCGAUUUCCCGCAGGAACAAUGGCGCUGUCUUCAGUGGCACAGUGGAGCAGCUCUGAAGAUGCAAAGGUAAGAGCUUAGUUAAGCUUAGUUUCCAAACUAAAGGAGUAAACCUGUUGAUUUACAGGAAUAGGAACUGUUGCAUCGUUUGAAAUUUACUUUUUUUUUGUUAGAUACACGAAAAAACUUCCAGAACAUCUGGGAGAAUAUUUAAUGGAAAAUCGCUUGGUUAAAACCUGACACUCUUAACAGGUAUGUGUUGUUUUAGUACUUUAUGAUUGAGCAUACCAUUUAAUCCACACCUAAACUAAAUCAAAUUUUUUUUGUCAGUGAACAGCGUUCUGAGUGUGGACGAGUAGCCAGUGAAGAUAAUGAAUGUCGAACGUGACUGACUAGCAGCUUCAUUUUGAAUGAGGGUCGCUGUCUGCCCAUUGA